AAGUUUUACGGGACUAAUUUUUAAAUUGAAAUUCGUCGUCCUCGUCCACUUCAAGUUGAAAUUACAAGAUUCGGAGAAAUUGCCAACCAUUAUAGAUAGUUAGUCAAUAGAUAUACACAGAUUAUAAAACUGUGUUUCUGUUAACUGUGUUCCACUACGACCAAAAAAGCACUCGCCAGAAGAUUUACUGUAUUUUUGACGAUUUAAGCUAUGAUAGUUCUUCUUUAUGUACCG